UUUUUUAAAUAUUUCAUUAAAAUAGAACCAGGAUUACCAACAUUAUAUUCCCGUUCUUAUACGCCUAUUUACGAGACUUUGCGGGGUCUGUCGUCAACAUGUCAGACAGUAACUCAAAAUACUUAAACCGAUUUACAUGAGACUUUGGUGAAUUGGUUUACUAGUAUAUCUAUUAACGUGAGGUCCCGUUCAAAUUUAACAAAUUUAGAUUUUACAUUUCCGACAAAUUUGAAUUUAUUAAUUUAAAAGGGGGGAUUUUCCAGUUUUCGGAUGAUACCUAAAACACGCUUGCAACAACUUACAGGAAAUUUUUGUGAACGUUUAAUAAUGAUGUGAGGUUCUUUUCAAUUUAUAUGAAUUUUGAUAUUAUGUUUUCGAAUUAUGGGGUUGUAUUAAAAACAAACAGGGAGAUUUUGUAGUUAACUCAAAAAUGC
rnacentral:lncRNA from 1 species